UACGGAGGGUGCGAGCGUUGUUCGGAAUCACUGGGCGUAAAGGGCGUGUAGGCGGUCCGCUAAGUCUGAUGUGAAAGCCCGGGGCUCACCCCCCGGAAGUGCAUUGGAAACUGGCGGACUCGAGUCCGGCGAGAGGAGAGUGGAAUUCCCUGGUGUAGCGGUGAAAUGCGUAGAUAUCAGGAGGAACACCGGUGGCGAAGGCGGCUCUCUGGACGGUGACUGACGCUGAGACGCGAAAGCGUGGGGAGCAAACAGG
rnacentral:rRNA from 1 species